rnacentral:rRNA from 1 species
ACUCAAAGGAAUUGACGGGGGCCCGCACAAGCGGUGGAGCAUGUGGUUUAAUUCGAUGCAACGCGAAGAACCUUACCUACCCUUGACAUCCUGCGAAGCAUGCUGAGAGGCGUGCGUGCCGAAAGGAGCGCAGAGACAGGUGCUGCAUGGCUGUCGUCAGCUCGUGUUGUGAGAUGUUGGGUUAAGUCCCGUAACGAGCGCAACCCUUGUCCUUAGUUGCCAUCAUUAAGUUGGGGACUCUAAGGAGACUGCCGGUGAUGAACCGGAGGAAGGCGGGGACGACGUCAAGUCAUCAUGGCCUUUAUGGGUAGGGCAACACACGUGCUACAAUGGGGCGUACAGAGGGCCGCGAACCCGCGAGGGGGAGCCAAUCUCAGAAAGCGCCUCGUAGUCCGGAUUGGGGUCUGCAACUCGACCCCAUGAAGUUGGAAUCGCUAGUAAUCGCGAAUCAGCAAUGUCGCGGUGAAUACGUUCCCGGGCCUUGUACACACCGCCCGU